rnacentral:rRNA from 1 species
GAUGAACGCUGGCGGCGUGCCUAAUACAUGCAAGUCGAGCGAAUGGAUUGAGAGCUUGCUCUUAUGAAGUUAGCGGCGGACGGGUGAGUAACACGUGGGUAACCUGCCCAUAAGACUAGGAUAACUCCGGGAAACCGGGGCUAAUACCGGAUAACAUUUUGAACCGCAUGGUUCGAAAUUGAAAGGCGGCUUCGGCUGUCACUUAUGGAUGGACCCGCUUCGCAUUAGCUAGUUGGUGAGGUAACGGCUCACCAAGGCAACGAUGCGUAGCCGACCUGAGAGGGUGAUCGGCCACACUGGGACUGAGACACGGCCCAGACUCCUACGGGAGGCAGCAGUAGGGAAUCUUCCGCAAUGGACGAAAGUCUGACGGAGCAACGCCGCGUGAGUGAUGAAGGCUUUCGGGUCGUAAAACUCUGUUGCUAGGGAAGAACAAGUGCUAGUUGAAUAAGCUGGCACCUUGACGGUACCUAACCAGAAAGCCACGGCUAACUACGUGCCAGCCGCCGCCGUAA